rnacentral:rRNA from 1 species
GAUGAACGCUAGCUACAGGCUUAACACAUGCAAGUCGAGGGGAAACGACAUCGAAAGCUUGCUUUUGAUGGGCGUCGACCGGCGCACGGGUGAGUAACGCGUAUCCAACCUGCCCACCACUUGGGGAUAACCUUGCGAAAGUAAGACUAAUACCCAAUGAUAUCCCACGAAGGCAUCCGAAUGGGAUUAAAGAUUUAUCGGUGAUGGAUGGGGAUGCGUCUGAUUAGCUUGUUGGCGGGGUAACGGCCCACCAAGGCAACGAUCAGUAGGGGUUCUGAGAGGAAGGUCCCCCCACAUUGGAACUGAGACACGGUCCAAACUCCUACGGGAGGCAGCAGUGAGGAAUAUUGGUCAAUGGGCGAGAGCCUGAACCAGCCAAGUAGCGUGCAGGAUGACGGCCCUAUGGGUUGUAAACUGCUUUUAUAAGGGAAUAAAGUGAGCCUCGUGAGGCUUUUUGCAUGUACCUUAUGAAUAAGGACCGGCUAAUUCCGUG